rnacentral:rRNA from 1 species
GAUGAACGCUGGCGGCGUGCUUAACACAUGCAAGUCGAACGGAAAGGCCCAAGCUUGCUUGGGUACUCGAGUGGCGAACGGGUGUGUAACACGUGGGUGAUCUGCCCUGCACUUCGGGAUAAGCCUGGGAAACUGGGUCUAAUACCGGAUAGGACCACAUUUUGGAUGGUGUGGUGGAAAGUUUUUCGGUGUUGGAUGAGCUCGCGGCCUAUCAGCUUGUUGGUGGGGUAAUGGCCUACCAAGGCGCCGACGGGUAGCCGCCCUGAGAGGGGGUACGGGGACAUUGGGACUGAGAGACGCAGCAGAAUCUUACGGGAGGCAGAGGUGGGGAAAAUAGCGCACUGGGGGCGAGCCUGUGAUAGCGACGCCCCGUGGGGAAUAACGGGCUUUGAGGUGUGAACACCUUUCGCUAGAGAGAAGGAGCAAGUGACGGUACCUGGGGAAGAAGCCCCGGCUAACUACGUG